AAGCACCGUGCACAACCCUAUUUAGAAACCCCGGGGCCCCUUUGCAUCCGUAUUGCGUUUUUAAUUCAAGGAGGACACGUCUCAGAAGUCAGGAUGCUGAGCAACACGCUUUCCUGUCUGCACAAAACAGUCUCUAGGACUAUUAUUGCUCUUGGGAUGCGGUGCUUUCAUGCAAAAAAGGUUUCAUUGUAGUUAGCAAGGACUGAGUAUGCAGACUGAAAAAAAAAUCCUUUUAAUGCAAAGCCUUUGCACUUGUUAACUUCCCCGGAAAUGAAUGCACCUCAGGCAAGUAUAGGGACGCUGGAACCAGGCUGAGACACUGCAGCCCCAACCUUGCUUCCUGGAGGAAGCUGAUCUCGCGAGAUCUUUCGAAGUCUCGCAGGUGUUCAGGGCAUCAUCUCGCGGUGUUUCGUGGGGUCUCGCGGGAUGCUGGGGGCUAUAGGGAUGUCUGCGGAGGCCCGGAGAAGCAUCCUGGGCAGAGAGAGGCUGGAAGCUGGGGGACCAGAGUCUUUUGGUGCCCCUACCGGCUCCUGCCACCUCUCCCGCCGACCGUCUUCCUCGUGAUGCCCACGCCCGCCUCUAGUCCCAGCUGCCCGGCCAGGCUCUGGGCCGGAGACAGUGCCAAGGCCACACCUGGGGUUGCUCUGUGCAAACGGGGGCCACACAUUUAGCCUGAAAGGCGGGGGCGGCCCCGAGGGCUUCCGAGCAGGGACGCUGGGACUCCAGUUCCACUUCUACCGACGUCCCAGACCGCAGCACCAAGGACGGGCAGCUGCCAGGUGUGGGGAGUUCAAGGAGAGCAGCUGUACCUGGUCCCCAAGCCUCUGCCCUGGAGCACAGCUUCGAAGCAUUUCGGUAAUUACCUCCCCCGGAGGGAAAUAGAAUUCCUCCAGCGUUUUGCUUUUGCACAGAGACUUGAUACCUAAUAGGUGGAGACCAGCUUGGAAGCAUUUGGGACAUUCCCUGCCCAGUCAUCCUGGCAACUGUGAAAAGUGCACUAGAACGCCUCUUGAAGCUUCGCCCAGGGACAGAUGGCCGAUUGUCUGAUGGACCUGUGACCCUGGACCUCUGGCCGUGAGGUCAGGGCGGAAGUCUUCCGUGGAAGAGGGGUCCUCACGCCUGAAUCCCUGUGGCCCUGACAGAUCAGCGUGGACUUGGCUUCUGUCCGUGACCAUUCUCAGGAGAUUGAAACACGGCCAGGCACUGACCCGGUCCAUAUUCCAAGUCCCACAGGCAGCGCUGUUUUCUUUCAGCAUCAGGGGAAGAGUAUCAGGGUUCUUGUGUAACGCUAGCCCCUGAACUUUCACCAUGUCUUUGUGAAUUUGGAUCAAAAUCUGUCUCAGCCGAUGCUCAAUACAGCUAACAGGGUCAGGUGUUCAGGUUCACAGCAGCACUAUGUACAAUAGUCAAGACAUGGAAACAACCUAAAUGUCCAUCAACAGAGGAGCGGGUUAAGAAGAUGUGUUAGAUACACACGAAGGAAUACGACUCAGCUGUAAAACACUGGCAGCAACGCGAGUGCAACUAGAGAUUCUCAUGCUGAGUGGGAACUCAAAGAGAAAGACAGAUGCCAUAUGAUAUCCCUUAUACUAUGUGGCGUCUAAAAUAUGGCACAAAUGAACCUAUCUGCAAAACAGAAGCAGGCUCACAGACAUGGAGAACAGACUUGUGGGUGCCAAGGGGGAGGGAGUGGGGAUAAGGGGUGGAGGAGCAAAGCCUAGGGAGUUCAGGAUUAGCAGAGGCAAACUCUGAUAUAUAGGAUGGAUAAAUAGCAAACUCCUACUUCAUAGAACCGGGGACUGUAUUUAAUAUCCUGUGAAAAGGUGUAAUGAAAAAGCAUAUGAAAAAGGACAUAUGUAUAUGUGUGUGUCUGAAUCACUGCUGUACAGCAGAAAUGAACACAGCAUUGUAAAUCAACUAUACUUCAAUAUAAUACAUUUAAAAAACGAAGUGGCACAAAUUCAGGCAUGAAAAAAUUAAUGUCAAUGCCUGAUUCAUAUAUGCAUAUAUGUGAAGCAUGGCAUGCAGCUGUAUUUACAUUUUAUCUUUGUAUAUGUACAGAAUUGUAUUUAGUAAGAUUAGCUGUGAUGCAAUCCUCAUUCUCUUUUCAUAUUAACAUUCCAUCUAUUUCAGUGAUUGGCCACCAAAACCUCAUGUAGGGUUGAGAGUUCCAGAAAGUGAAGGCAGUGGUCUGGCCAGUGAUGAUGUGGGCACCUAAACAUCCUAGAUUCCCAACCACCAGCAACAAAGACGUGUUUUCUGGGUCGGAGAUCUCAAAGGAGAGAGAAUACACUUUUCAUGAGUGCUUGGUAUACAAGUUCCGCAUUUGUCCCCAGAGAUACCACCUUCCUUAGAGUGUUUACUCAACUCCUAUUGAGUAGUAUGACUUGCACAAUAUUUUAUUUUGAAUGGAAUAUCCUGGAAACCAAAGUAGGUAGAGUCAGGUUUCAGUAUAGGGCCUUUGAUGUUUUUAAUUUGGAAAAUUUUAAGUUGUACACUGCUACUGUAUUUCUUUUUAAAAAACUAUGUGUGUACCAUUAAAAAAAAUUUUUUUAAGAUGAAA
rnacentral:lncRNA from 1 species